GAUGAAGAACGUAGCGAAAUGCGAUAAGUAAUGUGAAUUGCAGAAUUCAGUGAAUCAUCGAAUCUUUGAACGCACCUUGCACCCUUUGGUAUUCCGAAGGGUAUGCCCGUUUGAGUGUCAUUGUAAUCUCACGCCCCCUCACCCUUUCGCGGGGUGGGGUUGGGAGGUGGACUUGGACGUCCGUGGGGCGACAGCCCCGCUCGUCUCAAAAGCCUUUGGUGGCGGCCACGUGGUCUUUUCGGCGAUUCCGCCCGGUGUGAUAAGUGUCUUCACCGGGUGCCGCCUCGUGCCGCCGCUCACAACCGUACGCUGUACACGAUCUGACGCCUUGACCUCAAAUCGGGUAGGACUACCCGCUGAACUUAAGCAUAUCAAUAAGCGGAGGA
rnacentral:misc_RNA from 1 species